rnacentral:lncRNA from 1 species
GUUUUUUUCCUUGUAAAUUUGUUUAAGUUUCUUGUAGAUUCUGGAUAUUAGCCUUCUGUCAGAUGGAUAGAUUAAAGCUUGCAAGCUGAAACUCAACAACUUAUGUAAACUUCUGGAGAAAUCACAGCAACUUACAUAUAAACAACCCUUGUGCCUGCUGAUGUGUGGACUACAGAAAAGGUACACAUGAACACUGUAUUCAGACUGCAAUUUAGAGAAAUGUGUCAGAUUACCACUGCAAUUGGAAGAUGCUUCAGAAACUCUAGAAAACCUAGUCUAUAGACUGCUCCAGACAUUACAGGGUUCACUCUCAAGCUCUGGCUCAAUAAAACUCAAUUGGUCAAGACCCUUGCCUCAGUCAGUCUUUCUGGAUAUCCACCAUGAGUCCUGCAAAGCCCUUCAGUAAUCUAUUGCCUGCCUAGGUGAUGUGUACCCAGCAUGGCAGUCAGCCCUGCAGGAACCAGGAUAAGAGAAAAGGCCAUCAUACCUGCCAGUCUUCC